AAACGACUCUCGGCAACGGAUAUCUCGGCUCUCGCAUCGAUGAAGAACGUAGCGAAAUGCGAUACUUGGUGUGAAUUGCAGAAUCCCGUGAACCAUCGAGUCUUUGAACGCAAGUUGCGCCCAAAGCCUUUUGGCCAAGGGCACGUCUGCCUGGGCGUCACGCAU
rnacentral:rRNA from 1 species